AUAGUAAUGCGAAUAGAAGUAAUACUAAGAUAAUAGUCAUAGUAACAUAAAGUGUUUUCAUAUCAUAGAGUUGUUUGAAUUUUAUCAGUUUUGUAUUCCAUAUAACAAAAACAGAAUUUUGAGUUGUAGAAUAUCAAAAACUUUGUUGUAAAAAAAAAUUACUACAGUUACAAAAAACAAACUUAUUUCUGAUGUAAAAAAUUAAAAGAUAAAAAUCAUUUAAAAUUUUAAACAAAAAUAAAAAUUAAAAGACACUAUAAAGACAAUUUAAACAUACAAGACAAACUAAGAAAAAUAUUUAUAAUCCAUACGAUAUAUGCAACAUCAUACCUUUAUUAUACAGAGAAGUCAUACAAUGAGAUGGGGUAACUCUUUCAGGAAAGAAAGACAAAAAAUGCAAUGGUAAAACAGAAAAGACAAAAUAUAUACAAAUGCUUAGUAAAUGUGAAAAAAUGUUUGUUAUUGCUAAAAUAAUACAAAUGAAAUCAACAUCCUUUGAUCUACCAUGCUGACGAAUCAUAAAUUUUCUAAACCUUGUAUCGGUAGGAGGGGAAAUAGACACAUUCAUGCAUUGUUGGUAGUAAUAAAAAUUACUUUGACUUUCCUGGAAUUAUACAUAUCAUUAUGGCAAUUAUGCAUAACUUUUGGCCCAGAAAUUCCAUGUCCAGGAUUUUAUCCAAAGGCAUUAACCCUGUAAAUUUAAAAAAAUUUUGUUUUUAGUGUCCACAGUAUUUAUUAAUUGUUUAAUUAUCAAGAGAAACUAUUCCUUAGCUCAGAUAAUUUCAUAGUUCAGGAACACAGGUAAGUGACAAACUUCAAUGGAACUCAACCCAAAGAUAUUAUUUAUAUUCCAAAAUCAUUUUGCACUCUGAAAGAAACCAGCCUUCCUCAUGUCCUCAAAAUAUCUGCCUCAAUAAUUUCAGGCAGAUAAAAAGUAAUGGCAUAAUGACAAUUUAAAGCUGUUUCACUAACAAUUUUAUAAGCUUAUAUAUCAAGAGGGAAAAUAGAAGACUAUUAAAAAUAGCUAAAAAGAUAACAUGUCGUGGUGCUUAAGGUUUCUGUAACUGUUGGUUAAGGCUUACAUCUAAAUCUAGUUCAGAAUUCUUUUUAAAUUUAUUUUAUUAUAGUUGAUUUACAAUGUUCUGUCAAUUUCUGCUGUACAGCAAAGUGACCCAGUCAUACAUACAUAUAUACAUUCUUUUUCUCAUAUUAUCUGAUUCAGAAUUAAUUUCUUUCUUUCUCUUUCUUCCUUCCUUUCUUUUUGUUUUUCUUUUUUUGGUCAUUUUAGGGCUGCACCCUCAGCAAAUGGAGGAUCCUAGGCUAGGGGUCAAAAUGGAGUUGUAGCCGCUGGCCUACACCACAGCCACAGCAACAUGGCAUCCAAGCCAUGUCUGCAACCUACACUAGAGCUCACAGCAACGCUGGAUCCUUAAUCCACUGAGCAAGGCCAGGGAUUGAACCUGUGUCUUCAUGGAUGCUAGUCAGAUUCAUUUCCACUGAGCCAUGACGGGAACUCCUGAUUCAGAAUUCUUCUUUUUCCUUUUUUUUUUUUUUUUAGGGCCACACCUGCGGCACAUGGAAGUUUCCAGGCUCAGGGUUGAAUCAGAGCUGCAGCUGCCAGCCUACACCACAGCACAUGGCAACACUGGAUCCGCAACCCACCAAGCAGGGCCAGGGAUCAAACCUUCAUCCUCACGGACACUAGUUGGCUUCUUAACCCACUGAGCCACAAUGGGAACUCCCCUGAUUCAGAAUUCUUAAUGGUAUAUACACAGUGGUGCUAUGAGUCUGGAAGUACGUUUCAAAAUAGUGAAAAAAAAAAUGUUCAUUCAUAGGAGUGAGUAAAUAAAUUAUGGAACUUGCGCAGUGGGAAAACAGCACAACCAUUUAAAAGUGAUGACAUGAUUCUGUAAUUAUUGACAUGAAAAGAUGUCUAUCAUAUGUGUCCUAGUGGAGGAAAUAAAAGGUUACAGAACAACGUGUUGAGUAUGAUCACAUUCGUAUUAAAUUUUAAAACUAUGUCUGGGCACUUGUGUAUACAUGGAGAAAUGUCUGAUAAAACUGCUCAUCCAGACUGAUAGAAGAAGUUACCCUUGAGUUGUAGAUUUUCGUGUGGUUUCACAAUUUAUUCAUAAUUUUUGGUAUAUCUUUAAUUUUUUACAAUGAACACAUUGUGUUUCAGAAUUGCAUAAAUAUAAUUGGUUGUCCCAUUAUAACCAAAACAGAUGACCUCCACUAUAUAAUGACAGAGAGCCAAUUUCAAAAGAAAUUAUAAUUGGAAAAUAAAUGCAUAAUAAAUGUCAAGUAAAAAUAAUUAUAAAAAUAAAAAACAAGGAAUUUUACUGUUAUUCCGGAUUUUUUUUCUGCCUUGAGAAAAACUAUUUUCCUGACAUGUUGAGAAUUUAUAAUAAGAUUACUUUGAAAAAAGAAACACCCACUUGCUUAAAUAAUGUGAACAGCAUCUUGAGAGCUAUGAUCUUCAAUGCAUCUCACAUGGAUUCUUCUCAUCUAUCUCUUAUGUCCUGGGUUCCUCUAUUGUUCAACCAAUUCUGUGUCUUUUAUUACUAAACACCAAUUCUAUGGCAAUUGUAGCUCCAGUGCAUAAAUUCGUAUGGCUCCAGCUUUCUUUAACAGACAUUUUGCCUAUUUAUUCUUGUAAAUGACAUUGUUAGAAGAUCAAAAUGCAUUUGUCUUUCAGUGUUGACUGGAAGUGCAUUCUUAUUAUAAAUACAUAAUUUGGUCAAUAGGCCACCAACUGAAAGAGAAGACAUUCUCCUUUUUUCUUCGAUGAGAUGAGGAUCAACUUAGGCAUAUGUGAUGUUUUAUUCUCUGCGUUUUAGGCAAUCGGGAAGAAUCAAAUGUGUAAAGAACACAGACUAUAUAAGAAUCAAGAAUGAAUAGGUAGUCAAAUUUCCUUGAAGAGCAGCUGACAGCAUUUAACCUACAAAGCCCAGAAGUUUCAAAGGAUGAUGCAAAACACAAACUCUCCUUCCUGUCAAGGAAUUGGAAUCCCAGCCAGACACUUUGCUGAGAGAAUUCAUUAUUUAGAUGCCAAAACCAUUUCACUUUCCACUGCAUAUAAACUCAUGGCACAUAUGGGACUAAACGUUAAAAUCGAAGCUUGCAUGAUAAAUAGGAAAACCAUGUGGUGAAGAAACACUUUGAUUUCUUGCUUUCCAGGAUAAGGAUCAGUAGGCCCCUCUUGUAGCUCCUGGUAAUAGGAGGAUCUCCUGAGAGGCAUUGUCAUUACGCAUAGCUGGUAGUCAAGUUCACACCUUCUUUAAACAAAAGCCUGGCUUUAAUUCUUGCUCACAAUACACAACAUAGCUGAGCUCAUUUUAAAUCAAUAUAUCCAGCAGUUAAGCACGGAAAUUGGUUUGGAAACAGAACACCAAGCAAGAGUGGAAAGGCAGCACUGGUCUCAAGCCAGAGAAAGCUGGGCUUUUAUAAUAGGGUAGAUGCUUUGCUUUGUCUAUAGGCAAAAAAUGUGAACUGACUGAUGAGUUUUACUGAGGUGCAAAGUACAAUCUGGACCACAGAUUCUCAAAGGGUAGUGUGUAGAAGCAUAACUUGUAAAGUCUGUUGACUAUAGAUCCCUGGUGCCCACAACCCUGCUCCCCAACACAGAUUACUAUUCAGGUGGGUAGAAGUGUAACAUGUAGUGUAACAUGGAGAAGAUAGAGAACAAACUUGUUCAUAAAACCGAAGAAAGUGUUAUUGGCCUCAGGAUACCUCUUAGUCUUCUGGGUCUAGGCAGUGCUACAUAUCAGGUCCAGAUUAAAGCAUUAAACAUUUCCAAAGAUUAUACUGAGUAGACCAGACUGCAGCCCAAGACUCCAAGGAGGUCCAUCUUCAAGUAACCAAAUAUUUUUAGGCAAACAAAGACUUUAAAUGCCCUAAGAAUCAGUUCACUUAUUUUUCUUCUUGUAAACAAAAUCCUACAUAUAACCUCUACUUAAAAACAAAACAAAACAUAUCAUUUGUAAUAUAAAAGAUCACCUAGUGAUUCAAGAUCAGUAGAGGAACCAGAUUACCUCUGAUUUAAGAAGAGACAUAAGAGAAAAGAGGUUUUAGGUAUUUAUGAAAGAUUGCCCCUACUUCUUGGGUAGCAAUUCUAGGAAAGUAAGUGGAUCAUUGAGGGUGGAUUUCAAAGCAUGAUCUCUAAAAUUUAUCCAUCAAUGUUGUGGGCUAGGAAGAGUAUGGCUUUAAGCAAACAUAGGAGAAUACCUUUGUUUUGUUUGGUUUUUUUUUUUUUUUGGUCUUUUUAGAGUCACACCUAUGGCAUAUGGAGAUUCCCAGGCUAGGGGUUGAAUCAGAACUGUAGCUGCUGGCCUAUGCCACAGCAACAGCAAUGCCGGAUCCAAGCAGCAUCUGUGACCUAUACCACAGCUCUCAGCAAUGCUGGAUCUGAGCAGCAUCUGUGACCUACACCACAGCUCUCAGCAAUGCUGGAUCCUUAACCUAAUAAUCAAGGCCAGGGAUCGAACCUACAUCCUCAUGGAUACUAGUCAGAUUCAUUUCCACUGAGUCACGACAGGAACUCCUAGGAGAAUACUCUAGAAUACAUCUCAGGGAACCUCUCUGAUUCUAAUUUCUAAUAAACCUACUAUGAUACUAAAAUAUGGCUACAAUAAUAUUUGAUUUAUAAAUCAGAGGGUAAGAUAUCCAAAUAAGUUUAUUUUUCACAUACAUGAGUCUUAGUCCCUUCAAAACUGCAUUUUCAUGGUUUUAUUUAAACUUUUGGAUAGAACCUUUUAUAAAAUUUAUCAUCUAUUGUCCUGCCUCCUUAAACACGAUAAAUCAUUAUAUUUUCUUGAUUCUAAGUUCAUCAUUAAAACAUCACUUAUGGCACAUAUGUAGAAGAUGGCAUACAGUUGUAGAAAGAAAAAUGGACAAAAGUCAGAAUUCCCGAAUUCCAAACCCUUACUGGCCACAUUACCUUAGGCAAGUUUGAGAUUCAAUAUCCUGCAUGUACCAAAAUGUAUUGUGAAUAGCCAAUAAAAGCAAUAAUAAUAAAUGCUCAAUAAGUUUUUGGCUAUCAUAUCAUUGGCAUGACAGACAUGGCACAUACCCAAGAAACAGAUGAGGAACCAAAGCUCCAGAGAUGAGGUAACUAACUCACACUUUUACCCAAGACAGCCUCCUAUUAGCUCCCAUGCUUUCUGUGAUUGCUGCACCACUGUCAGAGCAUUAGAUGCCUCAUCUAAAUCCUGGAAGCCAUUUGUAGAAAUGCAGGCCUUGUGAACUACUUGCAGAAGUUCCUGCUGAGUCACAGCAUCUGAGUAAUAAAAAAGGGGAAAUGAAUGGGGAAAAGCUUUCAGUCUAGUCCCCUUUAACAGCCAUUUAGUGUUAAUGUCAGACUCUGGAAAAACAGUGGAAUGAUAAGAGUGGUUCCUGCCUUCUGGUUACUUAAAAUGCUGGGAAAUAGAUGAAGUGGCUACAAAGACAUUACAUGUGACUAUUACGUCCAUACAUAGUAAGAGCAAAGGGAAGACCAUGAGCCCAAUGGGGUGCAGGUGGCCAUGUGCAGAGUGAGUAGAUAUGAAGGAAAAACCUCCUGGAUAAUGGGAUAGCAAAAGUUGCAAGACAAAAAAAGCAUUCCAAAGAGAAGGAAUGACAUGAGCAAAGGCACACAAGUAUGAAAGGCAGUGUCUGGAGGGAAUCAUGAGCAGUUCAUAGAACUUGAAAAUGAGAAACAGGAGGGGAAGAGUAGGCUGUGCAAUAGAUGUGGAUCAGUCAUGAAGAACCUCAUACAGAAGUCAGUGCAAUCUUGAAACUUAUGGGAUCACUAGAGGAUUUUAACUGGGAGUAAUCUGAUCAGAUUUGCAUUUAGGGAGAUCUUUGCAUUUUGGAAAAUGUUACGUGGAUCAGAGGGACAGUUAUGCAGCACCAAAGAUGACUUGAACUGGGGCCUU
rnacentral:lncRNA from 1 species